rnacentral:rRNA from 1 species
CUGGAAUCGCUAGUAAUCGCAGAUCAGAAUGCUGCGGUGAAUACGUUCCCGGGUCUUGUACACACCGCCCGUCACACCAUGGGAGUUGGGAAUGCCCGAAGUCAGUGACCCAACCGCAAGGAGGGAGCUGCCGAAGGCAGGCUUGAUAACUGGGGUGAAGUCGUAACAAGGUAUC